rnacentral:rRNA from 1 species
CCUACGGGUGGCAGCAGUGGGGAAUUGUUCGCAAUGGGCGCAAGCCUGACGACGCAACGCCGCGUGGAGGACGAAGAUCUUCGGGUCGUAAACUCCUGUCGAGCGGGAAGAAACCCGCGAGGGUGAAUAACUCUUGCGGUUGACGGUACCGCUAAAGGAAGCCCCGGCUAACUCCGUGCCAGCAGCCGCGGUAAUACGGGGGGGGCAAGCGUUGUUCGGAAUUACUGGGCGUAAAGGGCUCGUAGGCGGCCAACUAAGUCGGAUGUGAAAUCCCCAGGCUCAACCUGGGAACUGCAUCCGAUACUGGAUGGCUUGAAUCCGGGAGAGGGAUGCAGAAUUCCAGGUGUAGCGGUGAAAUGCGUAGAUAUCUGGAGGAAUACCGGUGGCGAAGGCGGCAUCCUGGACCGGCAUUGACGCUGAGGAGCGAAAGCCAGGGGAGC